GGUGGUCCCUGCAAAGAAAGUCCCAGCUCCCAAGGCUCCAAAUGGACAGGGCACCAUGUUGACCCCUUCGUUGGCCUCCAGUUCGCCGACUGUAACAUGUUUCAUCCAGUUCAGGACGUUUAUUUAUUUCCAACUUGCAUACAAAACAUACUGAGAAACUAAAACCAUCGUUAAAAGUGAAGACACGUUGAGACAGGUAUCUCGACCUGCCAAGUAUACAGCUAAAGCUGAGUUCAUAAAAAGGGAUGAUUUGGCCGACGGUCAUCUGCCAGAUUCUGAUGAUGAUUCAGAAGUCAGUGUGGAAGAAGAUCAGAGGGAGAGGCAGGCGCUCUUUGACUUAUCAAGCUGCUCCCUGAGGCCCAAAAGCUUCAAGUGUCAGACUUGUAAAAAGUCAUAUAUAGGGAAGUGGGGACUGGCCCAGCAUUUUAAACUUAAUCCAGGCCAUGGCCAGCUGGACCCUGAGAUGGUGCUAUCUGAGAAAGCCAAUGGGAGCACCCUCCGGGGGUGCACAGAGGAAAGGACGCUCAGCCUGACCUUCCCGAGGCUGUCCGUGCCAGCGGCUCCGCGUGAGGGAGGGGCCCGCUCCUGCUUGGUGAGAGAGUCAGCACGCGGUGGCCUGGUGUCUUCUGUGGCUUCAGCGUCACCUAGUGCAGGCUGCCAUUCAACAAACGCAUUGUCAACAGUCAACCAAAAGAAACCCAUUGGCCACCAUACCCUGAGGACUAACCCUGACACAGAUGCCCUUCCAGAUGCCCUCAGUAGUCUAACUGAUUCCAUCGCCCCAGCCUUGGGGGAGAAGCACUGCUGCCUAUGCACUCCAUUUACAGGUGAACUGUCACCCCUACAACUCAGCUUGCAACCAGCCCUGGCCACCACCAGUUUCCCCACACUGAGCUGAAUAUUGGACAUGCCCAUCUUAGACAUUCCAGCCCAUUCUGAAAUUCCACAUCGAUUCACCCGACAAAGUCUGAAGUUCCAGGGCAAUUUAUCUGGAAAAGCUCACCUGGAAUCAUGUGUCAUUUCAACCAACAACUGUUGAAGAGGACGUGGCAUCAAAACCAAGGUUAUCAAUUAUUUAUAAGGGUUGUGUGGUGGUUGGUCCAAGCAUCUCUCCUUCAUGCCAUCACUCCUUUCAAGAGCUGCCUCUAUUUUCUAAUUUAGCACAGGAAUUUAGAUGCCCCUAAAUAAGUAGGCAUCCAGUAUCUGCCCACACCAGUUUUAGUGAGAGUACAUAUGGAGACACUACCACCACCCCUGCUCUCCUACUGCAUACCCCACCAUGCCAAAGCAUGGUGGCUCACACCUGUAAUCCCAGUGCUUUGGGAGGCCAAAGAGGAGGAACACUUGAGGCCAGAAGUAUGAGACCAGCCUGGGCAACAUAGUGAGACCUCAUUUCUAUAAAUAAGUUAAAAAAACAAAAAAAUAGGGCAUAGUGGUGCACAUGUGUGGUCCCAGUUACUCAGCAGGCUGAGGCUGGAAGAUCACUUGAGCCCAGGAGUUUGAGGCUGCAGUGAGCUAGGAUUAUGCCACUGCACUCUAGCCUGGGCAACAGAGAGAGACCCCAUCUCUAAAAA
rnacentral:lncRNA from 1 species